ensembl:lncRNA
GGCUCUAAGCAAAUCUCAGAGGUCUGAGUUUCCCUUGCCCUCUGAUGCCACCUCAGAGAGCAGCCCCCUCUUCCAGGCUUCUGACCAGCUGACCUCUAGAGGGACCAAUUUCUGCUCUUGGAUCGAGAACAAGGGGCUGGAAUCAAUAAGAGGACAGAUUCUUCUCCUUUGUCUCCCUGUCUUCCUGAUCAGUCAGAUGCAGUAGCUCUGGAGAGAGGCAAGUUCCCCUACACUGGAGAUAGAAGUGAGGGGACCACUGCAGCUGCACCACUGGGAUGUUAGAGCUCCAACAGAGGGAUUGAAAUAAACCAUCAUGAAAGUCUCUCUGGGCCUGAGCU